AGUGAACGCUGGCGGUAGUCCUAACACAUGCAAGUCGAACGGCAGCACAGUAAUAGCUUGCUCUUACGGGUGGCGAGUGGCGGACGGGUGAGGAAUACAUCGGAAUCUACUUUUUCGUGGGGGAUAACGUAGGGAAACUUACGCUAAUACCGCAUACGACCUACGGGUGAAAGCAGGGGAUCUUCGGACCUUGCGCGAUUGAAUGAGCCGAUGUCGGAUUAGCUAGUUGGCGGGGUAAAGGCCCACCAAGGCGACGAUCCGUAGCUGGUCUGAGAGGAUGAUCAGCCACACUGGAACUGAGACAAGGUCCAGACUCCUACGGGAGGCAGCAGUGGGGAAUAUUGGACAAUGGGCGCAAGCCUGAUCCAGCCAUACCGCGUGGGUGAAGAAGGCCUUCGGGUUGUAAAGCCCUUUUGUUGGGAAAGAAAAGCAGCAGGUUAAUACCCCGCUGUUCUGACGGUACCCAAAGAAUAAGCACCGGCUAACUUCGUG
rnacentral:rRNA from 1 species